rnacentral:rRNA from 1 species
ACUCCUACGGGAGGCAGCAGUGGGGAAUAUUGCACAAUGGGCGCAAGCCUGAUGCAGCCAUGCCGCGUGUAUGAAGAAGGCCUUCGGGUUGUAAAGUACUUUCAGCAGUGAGGAAGGCGGGUACGUUAAUAGCGUGCUUGUUUGACGUUAGCUGCAGAAGAAGCACCGGCUAACUCCGUGCCAGCAGCCGCGGUAAUACGGAGGGUGCGAGCGUUAAUCGGAAUUACUGGGCGUAAAGCGCAUGCAGGUGGUUUGUUAAGUCAGAUGUGAAAGCCCGGGGCUCAACCUCGGAAUUGCAUUUGAAACUGGCAGACUAGAGUACUGUAGAGGGGGGUAGAAUUUCAGGUGUAGCGGUGAAAUGCGUAGAGAUCUGAAGGAAUACCGGUGGCGAAGGCGGCCCCCGUGGACAGAUACUGACACUCAGAUGCGAAAGCGUGGGGAGCAAACAGGAUUAGAUACCCUGGUAGGAUAGCG